CAUGUGUGAAUCCAGCUUUAAAGAUUUGCACUGCCUCUGCAGCUAAGGAAGCCCUAGCGACAGUAACAUCACUCUGCACUGUUGUGCAGCCGUCACCAUAUCCUAGUAUUGGCACUGCUAAGUCAGAGUACAUGAAGCAUGCACCCUAAGGCUAACAUUUGGGAACCCAAGUUGGGAGUGCAUUAAUUGUGCAAGAGCUGUAGGAUACGUGUUGCAUGCUGAAACGGAACCAAAAGUAAACCGGAUAUUAAGGCAAGACAGGGCCGCCUCCGUCACGAGAAAACGGUUCUCUUACCCUAUCACCACCGUAGAGUUAACUCCGACAAAACUGUGAAGAAGCUAAGUACUGACCUCUUAUACGAUGUGGCAUCCGUUUGUUGCUGCUGAAGCAUCUUAGACAACUUGAGCACUUCUUCAUUGAGGAAACGAUUGUGGCUUUGGAGGAUUCGACACCUGUCGUUCAAUUUUUGAAAUCCCGUACCCUUCCACGGAGAAUAUCUGGAACACAACAAAUGGGAUGCUUAGUCAUCGCACGCUUCACCGCGAGGAACACGCAAUAUGGGAUAUCACCGAUGGGAUCAAAACAGAAGUGGUGAAGAUGGGAUGGAUGUGAGCUCAACCAGUGUUGCCAACAUGAGAUGCGUGGUACAUGUUUGUUUUCCUAGCAGUUAGGUUGCGUGAAAAACUGCGUUAUGAGCUGCAAGUCCAUCCACCUCCAGCACUAAAGCUGUGUUACUUCAGACAAGCUCCAUAGUUCCGCAAAAUUCAGCGAUACGUCCUAAUUUCAGCGCAUUUUCUGGGAAUUGCUGAAAAGUCUGAAUAUAUGAAUCCCGUCUGUACAUAUAUGAAUCCUCGCAUACGGCAUGCACCAUACGAUUGUUAGUGUACAUGACUCACUUGCGCUCUUCGCUCGAAGACUCCAUCAAAUGGAUCUGUUCGUGCAGUUCUGAGAGCAUCUCCUCCCUCUCAAUAAGCUCGUUCUUCUGAGAAGUUUCUCGAUUCAGGGCCUUGGCAAGCUCACACUUUGUUGCCCUGCAACAUAAUGAUGGUGAAGAUCUGGUGCAGGCUACGAUUAAGCAAUUAAUAAAUGGA